UACGUAGGGUGCGAGCGUUAAUCGGAAUUACUGGGCGUAAAGCGUGCGCAGGCGGUUUUGUAAGCCAGAUGUGAAAUCCCCGGGCUUAACCUGGGAAUGGCCUUUGGGACUGCAAGGCUUGAGUGCGGCAGAGGAGACUGGAAUUCCUGGUGUAGCAGUGAAAUGCGUAGAUAUCAGGAGGAACACCGAUGGCGAAGGCAGGUCUCUGGGCUGACACUGACGCUCAUGCCCGAAAGCGUGGGGAGCAAACAGG
rnacentral:rRNA from 1 species